rnacentral:tRNA from 1 species
UGGUAAAAAGGGGAGUCUAACCCCUCUUAGUGAGUUUACAAUUCACUACCUCAUCACUCGGUCAUUUUACC